AACGAACGCUGGCGGCAUGCCUAACACAUGCAAGUCGAACGAGACCUUCGGGUCUAGUGGCGCACGGGUGCGUAACGCGUGGGAACCUGCCCUUAGGUUCGGAAUAACUCCCCGAAAGGGGUGCUAAUACCGGAUAAUGUCUUCGGACCAAAGAUUUAUCGCCUUUGGAUGGGCCCGCGUUGGAUUAGCUAGUUGGUAGGGUAAAAGCCUACCAAGGCGACGAUCCAUAGCUGGUCUGAGAGGAUGAUCAGCCACACUGGGACUGAGACACGGCCCAGACUCCUACGGGAGGCAGCAGUGGGGAAUAUUGGACCAUGGGCGAAAGCCUGAUCCAGCUAUGCCGCGUGAGUGCUGAAGGCCUUAGGGUUGUAAAGCUCUUUUACCCGGGAUGAUAAUGACAGUACCGGGAGAAUAAGCUCCGGCUAACUCCGUG
rnacentral:rRNA from 1 species